AGCAUCCGUAGCCGGCUGCUCAAGUUUCCGGUUAAAUCCACACGCUUAACGUAUGGGCUGCCGGAAAUACUGUUCAGCUAGGGAGUGGGAGAGGUAGACGGUACUCGAUAGGAAGGGGUAAAAUCCUUUGAUCUAUUGAUGACCACCUGUGGCGAAGGCGGUCUACCAGAACACGUUCGACGGUGAGGGAUGAAAGCUGGGGGAGCAAACCGGAUUAGAUACCCGGGUAGUCCCAGCUGUAAACGAUGCAGACUCGGUGAUGCAUUGGCUUAUGGCCAGUGCAGUGCCGCAGGGAAGCCGUUAAGUUUGCCGCCUGGGAAGUACGUACGCAAGUAUGAAACUUAAAGGAAUUGGCGGGGGAGCACAAGCC
rnacentral:rRNA from 2 species